GGUGAACGCUGGCGGCGUGCUUAAGACAUGCAAGUCGAACGCAGUCUUCGGACUGAGUGGCGCACGGGUGAGUAACACGUAACUGACCUACCCCCAAGUCGCGGAUAACUGGCCGAAAGGUCAGCUAAUACGUGAUGUGAUGUCCCCUUUCUGGGGGGCCAUUAAAGGUUUACUGCUUGGGGAUGGGGUUGCGUUCCAUCAGCUAGUUGGCGGGGUAAAGGCCCACCAAGGCAACGACGGACAGCCGGCCUGAGAGGGUGGCCGGCCACAGGGGCACUGGGACACGGGUCCCACUCCUACGGGAGGCAGCAGUUAGGAAUCUUCCACAAUGGGCGAAAGCCUGAUGGAGCGACGCCGCGUGAGGGAUGAAGGUUCUCGGAUCGUAAACCUCUGAAUCAGGGACGAAAGACGCGUAAGCGGGAUGACGGUACCUGAGUAAUAGCACCGGCUAACUCCGUGCCAGCCGCCGCAGUAA
rnacentral:rRNA from 1 species